rnacentral:rRNA from 1 species
GCUUAACGAUGUCGAUUUGGAGGUUGUGCCCUUGAGGCGUGGCUUCCGAAGCUAACGCGUUAAAUCGACCGCCUGGGGAGUACGGCCGCAAGGUUAAAACUCAAAUGAAUUGACGGGGGCCCGCACAAGCGGUGGAGCAUGUGGUUUAAUUCGAUGCAACGCGAAGAACCUUACCUACUCUUGACAUCCAGCGAAUCCUGUAGAGAUACGGGAGUGCCUUCGGGAACGCUGAGACAGGUGCUGCAUGGCUGUCGUCAGCUCGUGUUGUGAAAUGUUGGGUUAAGUCCCGCAACGAGCGCAACCCUUAUCCUUUGUUGCCAGCGGUUCGGCCGGGAACUCAAAGGAGACUGCCAGUGAUAAACUGGAGGAAGGUGGGGAUGACGUCAAGUCAUCAUGGCCCUUACGAGUAGGGCUACACACGUGCUACAAUGGCGUAUACAAAGAGAAGCGAACUCGCGAGAGCAAGCGGACCUCAUAAAGUACGUCGUAGUCCGGAUUGGAGUCUGCAACUCGACUCCAUGAAGUCGGAAUCGCUAGUAAUCGUGGAUCAGAAUGCCACGGUGAAUACGUUCCCGGGCCUUGUACACACCGCCCGUCACACCAUGGGAGUGGGUUGCAAAAGAAGUAGGUAGCUUAACCU